rnacentral:lncRNA from 1 species
GCAGUUUCCUGCUACACGAGUUGUCUUCUGCAAGAAUGGGCUGGAGGAGUUCAGCCUGAAAGCCCAGCAGGGCAGGCUCAUCUACGCUCUGGUCCUGAACAUCACCUCCAGAAGUGCUGGGAUGUACACGUGUGGGUACCAGCAAAAGAACAAGGAAAACAACGUGAAGAACUCUGCUCUCAGUGCUCCCCGGACCUUGUCUGUAGCAGCCCCAUAUCCCCGGAUUCUGCACACCCUCCCCACAGGCACGGUGCUGGCAGUGGCGGCCGUCGGCCUCGUCCUCCUGGCUGCAGGCAGCUGGUUUGCCAUCAGGAAAGGUGCCUGCAGAGGGAGAUGCCCAAGGCAGCAGCACGUUGACAGCCCACAGAUGGAAACCACAGACCAUGGCGAAGUCACAUGUGAGUACUACCUCCUCCGUUGGCGGAAGCCAUGCACCCGUGUCAGGUGGAAUCCCAGCACUUCAUUUCCCACUGGGACAUACAGAAUCCCUGCCUGUUCAUCAAGACCAGGUUUCUCUCCAGCACCUCACGUCGUCCUUCUUCCUUGCAUGCAGAGUGCGGCUGCUGCCUGCACAAGGGACAUGGCAGCAUCCCAGUGCUCCCAGGGACAAAGCCCUUUUGCUUGGGGGGUUCCUUCCACACCAGCUCCGGCCUCAGGCUGCAUUUCCCCUGCUUCAGCCUCUGCUUUUGUCCUUUCUUCAGUUUCUCUUCAGUGUCAUUUCUGCUUCAAGAACUACACAAAGCACAUCACAGCAACAAAAGCUGUCGCUCUGUUUCCUUGCACUGCUGGGGAAAACAUUUUAUAG